AAUCUACUAUAAUAUGAGUCCAGUGUUGUUUGUUGUCUUUUCUUAAAGUUUGAAUCUUGUUGAAUUUCAUCUGUAAUUUUCUUUUUAUUGCAUCAAAAACUCCGGGUGAUAUCUUCUCAAUAUGCAUCCAAAAUUUGUGAAGAGUUCUAGAUGCGAAAAUUGGUUUCUUACGUGUCACUAUUUCCAAAAGUUUCUCAUUAUCGUCUUCAACUUCUUCACCAACAUUAUAGACAUAAAUAGCAAUUUCUUUUAAAAACUCUAAAUUUUUUACUAUGAUUCAUUUUUACCCGAAUAGUCGAGUAAGCUCUUGACAUUUAUUCUAUUCUGAAAGAAUAUAGUGUUAUAUUUUGCUUAAAUAUUUCUAUAAAUUGAU
rnacentral:sRNA from 1 species